rnacentral:rRNA from 1 species
UCUACGGGUGGCAGCAGUGAGGAAUAUUGGUCAAUGGGCUUAAGCCUGAACCAGCCAAGUCGCGUGAGGGAAGACUGCCCUAUGGGUUGUAAACCUCUUUUGUCAGGGAGCAACGCAUGCUACGUGUAGCCGGACUGAGAGUACCUGAAGAAGAAGCAUCGGCUGACUCCGUGCGAGCAGCCGCGGUAAUACGGAGGAUGCUCCCGUUAUCCGGGUUUAUUGGGGUUAACGGGUGCGGAGGCGGAAUGCCAAGUCAGCGGUAAAAUCGCGGGGCUCAACCUCGCCCCGCCGUUGAACCUGGCGUUCUUGAGUGGGCGAGAAGUAUGCGGAAUGCGUGGUGUAGCGGUGAAAUGCAUAGAUAUCACGCAGAACUCCGAUUGCGAAGGCAGCAUGCCGGAGCCCAACUGACGCUGAAGCACGAAAGCGUGGGUAUCGAACAGGAUUAGAUACCCUAGUAGUC